ACCAUACCACACUGAACAUUCCCAAUCUUCUCUGAUCUCCAAAGCUAAGCAGGCUAGGUCCUGCUUAGUAUUUGGAUGGGAAACAGUAUGAAAUAUACCUGGAACUCAGGUC
rnacentral:rRNA from 1 species